UUCCGGUUGAUCCUGCCGGAGGCGACCGCUUUGGGAGUUCGAUUAAGCCAUGCGAGUCGUGAGUCUUAGGGACUCGGCAUACUGCUCAGUAACACGUGGAUAACCUGCCCUAUCGUCUGGAAUAACCUCGGGAAACUGAGAACAAGGCCGGAUAGUUCACAAUGCCUGGAACGGUUUGUGAAUCAAGGUAGGAUGGGUCUGCGGCGUAUCAGGUUGUAGGGGGUGUAAAGGACCCCCUAGCCUUCGACGCGUACGGGUGUUGGGAGACAUAGCCCGGAGAUGGAUUCUGAGACACGAAUCCAGACCCUACGGGGUGCAGCAGGCGCGAAAACUUCACACUGCAGGAAACUGUGAUGAGGGAACUCCUAGUGCAUGCACUAUGUGUAUGUAGAUCCUACUCUUAACAAGUAGAGGGAAAGGGCUGGGAAAGACCGGUGCCAGCCGCCGCGGUAAUACCGGCAGCUCAAGUGGUCGUCGCUUUUAUUGGGCCUAAAACGUCCGUAGCCUGUUUGGUAAAUCUGUGGGUAAAUCAAUCCGCUCAACGGAUUGAAUUCUGCAGAGACUGCCAGACUAGGGACCGGGAGAGGUGUGGGGUACUCGAGGGGUAGGGGUAAAAUCCUGUCAUCCUUCGAGGACCACCAGUUGCGAAGGCGCCACACUGGAACGGAUCCGACGGUCAGGGACGAAGCCUAGGGGCACGAACCGGAUUAGAUACCCGGGUAGUCCUAGGUGUAAACGCUGUGAACUUGGUGUCGGGGGUCCGCAAGGGGUCCCCGGUGCCGGAGUGAAGAUGUUAAGUUCACUGCCUGGGGAGUACGGUCGCAAGGCUGAAACUUAAAGGAAUUGGCGGGGGAGCACUGCAACGGGAGGAGCGUGCGGUUUAAUUGGAUCAACGCCGGA
rnacentral:rRNA from 1 species